AAGUGCAUGAAGAGUUUGUAAUUUUGUGUUCCCCAAAAACAUGGACGUAUUGGCUUCAUUGGAAAAGUGGCUGAGGAUGCAACUUUACUGCCUUGUAUUCACACAGGCUUGUGUCGGGUCCCGCUGUGAAUUGACUGUGGAAAAUAUACUCCAGUCUGCCGGCCGCUCCCCGUGUCCUUGAUUUAUCCGAAUAGGAUGUGGCUGAUGGGCGCACGUAAAGCAGUCUGAAUGGCCCAGAGGCUGCUCUGGCAAGAGAGAAGAGGGAGGGAGGCGCUGCAGCUUAUGAAGAUGUGGUUGAGGUUUCGGGGACGUCACGGCAUGGAGAAAAACUUCCUGUUCGCAAAUGAAUGGGCAACCGCACUUGCAGCAUUCUUUGAUGACAGUCUUGCCUAAGCAGUUUUCAGAGCGCACGAAUGUGACGGAAGAAAGCAUCCGCAGAAGAGGAAGGAGAAACGUGGCUUAACCUUCUGCUCAUCUCUCCACUCUCAGAGUUCUGGUGUCAGAGAACAAAAUCACGUGUGCAAUUUUACUAUGAAUAAUUGAUUCCUAUUAUGAACAUAUUGAAUAUGUUCAUUUAUUUUGUUCGCCCCCCCCCCAAAAAAACGUUGAAAAAAUGAUAAACAAGCGCUAAUGAAAAACGAGGCAGCUUUGCAAUUGACUAUGCAAUGCAAGCAUGGCUUCUCUGUUCAGGCUGCUCAGUACAAUCCUGUUUGGCUAAAUCAACAAUGAAUUAAGUGAGCUGCAUUUAACGUUGGUGUUGACCCAUAUGUAAAAAUUGACUUUUCUAAAACUUGUAUAACAGUGUAAAAUUGUUGACCAAAAGAGUGCCUGUAAGGUAAAAAUUGUUUUAUGUGGAGAUACUAUUUUGGUGUAUAGG